CGACCGGCGCACGGGUGAGUAACACGUAUCCAACCUGCCGAUGACUCGGGGAUAGCCUUUCGAAAGAAAGAUUAAUACCCGAUGGCAUAGUUCUUCCGCAUGGUGGAACUAUUAAAGAAUUUCGGUCAUCGAUGGGGAUGCGUUCCAUUAGCUGGUUGGCAGGGUAACGGCCUACCAAGGCAACGAUCAGUAGCCGGUCUGAGAGGAUGAACGGCCACAUUGGAACUGAGACACGGUCCAAACUCCUACGGGAGGCGCAUG
rnacentral:rRNA from 1 species